GCUGGUGUGGCGGAAUUGGUAUACGCGCGCGCCUUAAGAGCGUGUGGGGAAACUCAUGCGGGUUCGAGUCCCGCCACCAGCA
rnacentral:tRNA from 1 species